rnacentral:rRNA from 1 species
UAGAGGCUAGUAUGAACGAAUAAACAAUAAUUACCUGUCUUAUUACUAAAUCUAUAAAUUUAUUUUUAGGUGAAGAAGCCUAAAUAAAAAAAAAAGACAAGAAGACCCUAUCAAGCUUUAUUUAUUCUUGAAUUAUUUAAUUCAAAAAAUUUUAGUUGGGGCAACAAAAAAUUAUAAAUAAUAUUUUUCUAAUAAAGAACUAUUUUUCUAAAACCUAAACUUUUAAAUAAAUAUAAAAAAGCUACUGUAGGGAUAACAGGCUAAUACUUUUCAAGAGUCCUUAUCUACAAAAGUGAUUGGCACCUC